UAGCGUAGGAGGCAAGCGUUUGUCCGGAAUUACUGGGCGUAAAGCGCGUGUAGGUGGUGGGACAAGUCUGCUGUGGAAAGCGCCUGGCUUAACCGGGGCGAGGUCGGCGGGAAACUGUCCGACUAGAGGACGGUAGAGGGGGGUGGAAUUCCCCGGGUGUAGUGGUGAAAUGCGUAGAGAUCGGGAGGAACACCUGUGGCGGAAGGCGGCCCCCUGGGCCGGCCCUGACACUGAGACGCGAAGGCGUGGGGAGCGA
rnacentral:rRNA from 1 species